GACGAACGCUGGCGGCGUGCCUAAUACAUGCAAGUAGAACGCACAGGAUGCACCGUAGUUUACUACACCGUAUUCUGUGAGUUGCGAACGGGUGAGUAACGCGUAGGUAACCUGCCUGGUAGCGGGGGAUAACUAUUGGAAACGAUAGCUAAUACCGCAUAAGAACAUUUACUGCAUGGUAGAUGUUUAAAAGGUGCAAAUGCAUCACUACCAGAUGGACCUGCGUUGUAUUAGCUAGUAGGUGAGGUAACGGCUCACCUAGGCGACGAUACAUAGCCGACCUGAGAGGGUGAUCGGCCACACUGGGACUGAGACACGGCCCAGACUCCUACGGGAGGCAGCAGUAGGGAAUCUUCGGCAAUGGGGGGAACCCUGACCGAGCAACGCCGCGUGAGUGAAGAAGGUUUUCGGAUCGUAAAGCUCUGUUGUUAAGGAAGAACGAGUGUGAGAAUAGAAAGUUCAUACCUGG
rnacentral:rRNA from 1 species